rnacentral:rRNA from 1 species
UACGUAGGGUCCGAGCGUUGUCCGGAAUUAUUGGGCGUAAAGGGCUCGUAGGCGAUUUGUCACGUCGGGAGUGAAAACUCAGGGCUCAACCCUGAGCGUGCUUCCGAUACGGGCAGACUAGAGGUAUGCAGGGGAGAACGGAAUUCCUGGUGUAGCGGUGGAAUGCGCAGAUAUCAGGAGGAACACCUAUAGCGAAGGCAGCUUGCUGGGACGACACUGACGCUGAGGCGCGAAAGCGUGGGGAGCGAACAGG